rnacentral:rRNA from 1 species
CUACGGGGCGCACCAGUGGGGAAUAUUGGACAAUGGGGGAAACCCUGAUCCAGCAAUGCCGCGUGUGUGAAGAAGGCCUGCGGGUUGUAAAGCACUUUCGGUUGGGAGGACUGCUUCUAGCACUAAUAUUGUUGGAAGUUGACGUUACCUUCAGAAGAAGCACCGGCUAACUCCGUGCGCAGCAGCCGCGGUAAUACGGAGGGUGCAAGCGUUAAUCGGAAUUACUGGGCGUAAAGCGCGCGUAGGCGGCUAGAUCAGUCGGGUGUGAAAGCCCCGGGCUUAACCUGGGAACUGCAUCCGAUACUGUCUAGCUUGAGUACAGGAGAGGAGAGUGGAAUUCCACAUGUAGCGGUGAAAUGCGUAGAUAUGUGGAGGAACACCAAUGGCGAAGGCAGCUCUCUGGCCUGAUACUGACGCUGAGGCGCGAAAGCGUGGGGAGCAAACAGGAUUAGAUACCCGAGUAGUC